rnacentral:rRNA from 1 species
CCUACGGGUGGCAGCAGUGAGGAAUAUUGGUCAAUGGACGAGAGUCUGAACCAGCCAAGUAGCGUGAAGGAUGACUGCCCUAUGGGUUGUAAACUUCUUUUAUAAAGGAAUAAAACGAGGCACGUGUGCCUUUUUGCAUGUACUUUAUGAAUAAGGAUCGGCUAACUCCGUGCCAGCAGCCGCGGUAAUACGGAGGAUCCGAGCGUUAUCCGGAUUUAUUGGGUUUAAAGGGAGCGUAGAUGGGUUGUUAAGUCAGUUGUGAAAGUUUGCGGCUCAACCGUAAAAUUGCAAUUGAUACUGGCAGUCGUGAGUACAGUUGAGGUAGGCGGAAUUCGUGGUGUAGCGGUGAAAUGCUUAGAUAUCACGAAGAACCCCGAUUGUGAAGGCAGCUUACUAAACUGUGACUGACAUUGAUGCUCGAAAGUGUGGGUAUCAAACAGGAUUAGAUACCCCGGUAGUC